UACGUAGGGUGCUAGCGUUAAUCGGAAUUACUGGGCGUAAAGCGUGCGCAGGCGGUCUGUUAAGACCGAUGUGAAAUCCCCGGGCUUAACCUGGGAACUGCAUUGGUGACUGGCAGGCUUUGAGUGUGGCAGAGGGAGGUAGAAUUCCACGUGUAGCAGUGAAAUGCGUAGAGAUGUGGAGGAACACCGAUGGCGAAGGCAGCCCCCUGGGAUAGCACUGACGCUCAUGCACGAAAGCGUGGGGAGCAAACAGG
rnacentral:rRNA from 1 species